rnacentral:rRNA from 1 species
GAGUUUGAUCUUGGCUCAGAGCGAACGCUGGCGGCGUGCCUAACACAUGCAAGUCGAACGUGAACGGGGGCAACCCCUAGUAAAGUGGCGUACGGGUGAGUAACGCGUAGGUAAUCUACCCUAGAGUCUGGAAUAACCUGCCGAAAGGCGGGCUAAUACUGGAUAGAGCGGUUGGUUCGUAAACGGACUGACUGGGAAAGGGAGCUUGAAAGAGCCCUUGCUUUAGGAUGAGCCUGCGUCCCAUCAGCUAGUUGGUAAGGUAACGGCUUACCAAGGCAAUGACGGGUAGCUGGUCUGAGAGGAUGAUCAGCCACACUGGAACUGAAACACGGUCCAGACUCCUACGGGAGGCAGCAGUGGGGAAUCUUGCGC